ACGGGAGGCAGCAGUGGGGAAUAUUGGACAAUGGGGGAAACCCUGAUCCAGCGACGCCGCGUGAGUGAAGAAGUAUUUCGGUAUGUAAAGCUCUAUCAGCAGGAAAGAAAAUGACGGUACCUGACUAAGAAGCCCCGGCUAACUACGUGCCAGCAGCCGCGGUAAUACGUAGGGGGCAAGCGUUAUCCGGAUUUACUGGGUGUAAAGGGAGCGUAGACGGUUUUGCAAGUCUGAAGUGAAAUGCGGGGGCUCAACCCCUGAACUGCUUCGGAAACUGUAGAACUAGAGUACAGGAGAGGUAAGCGGAAUUCCUAGUGUAGCGGUGAAAUGCGUAGAUAUUAGGAGGAACACCAGUGGCGAAGGCGGCUUACUGGACUGUAACUGACGUUGAGGCUCGAAGGCGUGGGGAGCAAACAGGAUUAGAUACCCUGGUA
rnacentral:rRNA from 1 species